CUCACACCUUGCAGGGGGUUCUACGUGUGUUUGGUUCCAUCUGGCAGGGGGUUCUACAUGUGUUUGGUUCCAUCUGGCAGGGGGUUCUACGUGUGUUUGGUUCCAUCUGGCAUGGGGUUCUACGUGUGUUUGGUUCUAUCUGGCAUGGGGUUCUACGUGUGUUUGGUUCCAUCUGGCAUGGGGUUCUACUUGUGUUUGGUUCCAUCUGUGAGGGGGUUGUAUAUCUUGUAUUUCCACAACGAGACGGUGGGGGUUAUCUGAGCCAUGGUUGAGAAGGAAUUGGGGGGGAAAGGAAAUUUGGCUUUGACUCGCUGAAGUACAUGAACUGCUACAUGCCGCCGGUUGCCGCGAGGCACCAUCGCCCGGCAGCGGGCAGCCGGCAGCGAGCGGUUCCACGUGCGUGUCCUGGGUUCUACGUGUGUUUGGUUCCAUCUGGCAGGGGGUUCUACAUGUGUUUGGUUCCAUCUGGCAGGGGGUUCAACGUGUGUGUCCCGGGUUCUACGUGUGUGUGUCCUGCUUGCUUUGACUGUGAUAAUGUUCAUACGGGGGUCUGUGUGGUUGGCUUGGGCUAUUGGAAAGGUCAACUAAAUCAUACCUGAUGGACGGCCACAUGUUUACCUGAGGCCUCCGGUAGACAUGAAGAGCCCGGAGCAACACUCCGAGCGAUAUCCAACACACUGGGAAGGAAGGAAGGAGAGUAUCCAAAUCAAGUGUCAAAGGAUGCAAGCGGCGUGUUCAGAUCAGUCACUUCAAACUAGGACUACACCAAUGAGCAUCAAUGGAGGAUGGACACCUAAAGGAUCAAUGGAGGAUGGACACCUAAAGGAUCAAUGGAGGAUGGACACCUAAAGGUUCAAUGGAGGAUGGACACCAAAAGGCUUUCCACAAGGAGAGUCUGCAGUUGGAAAGGGACCUCAAUGGAUUUUCAAGAUGUCCUUCACACCUGUAGUGAGGCGGAUCUUCCUACCUGGCUGGAUUGAUGGAGAGCCCUGUGGAUCUUGUCUUGCUCUCAGUUGCACGUCUUCUCAGGCUGAACAGUAUUUGUUUCAUACAGGACUAGCUGAACGAUUGGUUCCCUUAAAUCAGAACCAAUCUGGGAACUCCAACUAGUGCGCUCUUCAAACUGAAGUUGUGGUCUUCAGUUGAGGAGGUAAGGAAACCUUCACUGGGGCUUCAAGGUGUAAAGUGGAGAAUGUUUCAAAGUGUUACAUGGUACUCUGAUGAAGACUGUUGUUGUGUUCCACUGGCUGAGGGGAAGAACCCUCACAUCUUCCUCUUGGCCUUUCUCCUCUGAGAAUCCUGGCUCCAUCUUGAAGGAUAGUCCAGCUCAUGUAACUGAUGUCACGACAGAUUCUCAAACACUUGGUUUCUCCUGAGGUGCGUGUCUAUAGAACUGAAGACUUCAGACGGCACUGUAUCCCAGCAUGCAUCUCUGCUCACUCAGACCACACCCUCAUAAGUAGGAUGCAACACUCUAGCGAUGGAGAUGUAGAGUUUUAUAAGUAAUGAGGGAGCAGACAAAGGUGGUUAGAACACCAUGGCAUGUCAAGUCUAACUCUUUAAACCAUGAAGAUGGUUGGAUAGUUCAGGAAUUGGGCUUCAUUUUAUUAUGGGCAGUCCUUUAACUCAGAUGCCCACUUCUCACUGGAGCUGUACAUGUGUUGGCUGGCUGGCAUGAUUUGCUGUUGGUGAUGAGGCAGUCAGGGUGAAGUUGCAGGGCUAUGGUAAGCUCUCGGUGAGCUCAACGUUUAGAUAUGCUCUGUAUGGCUUGUACCCUGAAUAAUCUAGAUAAUUGUUCUGUUUAUUGUAAAAUGUAGACACGGUUUUGUAUUGAAUGAUUCCAUUGUUUUUAGGCAAGGAUUUGAGGUUUAAAGUCGUUGUGGGACGUGCAUUGUCGGUUCUUCAUACGAUUUUGAGUGGUAUAACUUGUACACACUGGGUGCAUAAUAAUGUAAAGGUACACUGAAUAGUAGUUAUGACCAACAGCAUCAAACGGAUCGCAUCAAGGUAAGUCUGUUGGCUGUGUUUUAAUGAAGACCAUCGCUGGACUUCAGGAUCAUCCUCCGUUCAGCUCAAGGUGAGGCGCUGGUUCUGUUUUUUCUUUGGUUGGUUCCGGCUGGAAUGUUCGGAUUCCAGUCGGACUGUUUGUGCUUCCCGCCGUGGAAGGUUCUGAGUGUGGUCACUUGAUUUAGUCUCGAUGGUUAGCAAUCGUUGUAGUUUUGACAACCAUAAGAACCCACCCGGCAGUUAGUUGGACGCGAGUCCCCUGAGGGAAUCUGGCGGAACGUUCUGGAUUGUAUUUGCGUAACAUAGAGCCGUUGCCAACGGAAACUAUUUUCGGUUUCCAUUGGGAAUUGUUCCCCCUUAUCUUAAACAACUUAAAUUUGAUAUUAAAUACAUACUGACACGUACAUCUUACAAUAUGUUGAUAAUAUCCGAUGGUUGCGCCGUACUUUUAACCACGUUGACGGGACUCUCGCUGCGUACAAAAGAGCGUUCUACUUGCGGGCCCAUUUCUGACCAUCAGUGAAGGCUGAAAAUAAUUUCAAGAAGGAAGACAAUUUGGCAUUUCUUCAAGGGAACCCAGCACCUGAAUAUGGCUGAGUAUAUUUGAUUUCAUAUCGAUAAUGCUUAGGGUUCUUUGGUACUUCAGCUUUUGUACGUUCUAAAUAUCUGGUGGCAUUAAUUGCCACAGAAGUUAAACCCUAUCAAAUGGAAAGACGUUAAACGACGACUUUGGUGCUGAGUUACCAACUGGAUAAUAUUAAAGCUAAAAUAAUGCCGUCUUUCCUACAUGUUACAGUAGAAGAAACUCGAGAACUGUACAAGGUUAAAAAGGUAACAUGUAGUUUGUCCCAAGGUGUCUGCCUCCUCACCCAGAGCCAGACCUCCACCUCCUCACCCAGAGCCAGACCUCCACCUCCUCACCCAGAGCCAGACCUCCACCUCCUCACCCAGAGCCAGACCUCCACCUCCUCACCCAGAGCCAGACCUCCACCUCCUCAACCAGCGCCAGACCUCCACCUCCUGUCAGAAGUCCUCCAGAACUGGUCAGUGCUCUGUCUGAAAGGCGAGGCGGAGAGGCUGGUAACCGGAGGCUUGUGGUGCCAGGAUGGACAGGAGACUGAGGCUGGAGACCAGGGGACCGCAGCACCGGACCAGGGGACCGGGAAUCCAUGGCUGAAGGAGCCGAUGGAGGAGCCGUGCUGAAGGCCCUGCCUGGUGGAGGAGCUGAUGGAGACCCUGCCUGGGGGAGGAGCUGAUGGAGGCCCUGCCUGGUGGAGGAGCUGAUGGAGGCCCUUCCUGAUGGAGGCCCUGCCUGGUGGAGGAGCUGAUGGAGGCCCUGCCUGGUGAAGGGGCUGGUGGAGGUCCUGCCUGGUGGAGGUCCUGCCUGGUGGAGGAUGUCUGUCGUGAGCAGGACUUUCGCUGUUUGUUCCAGACCAGGACUCGUCCGAGGGGAGUUGAUGGUUGAGCUGAGACGCUGGAGGACGACUAGGAAUCGACCAACAAGGAUUCCUCAUGAAACGUGUUUCUGGAGCGGAGGCGAGCUGGCAGGGGAGCCGUGAAUCUGGAGGAUGACCAUCACUCUACCAACAUGGAUUACCAGGCCUCUGAGGAGAGCUGAUGGAGGAGCCAAGACUCUGGAGGACGACAUCACUCUACCAACAAGGAUCCACCAGGAAUCUGGAGGACUGACGGAGAAGCUGUACAUCUGGAAGGCAAAUCCUGAGGACCACCAGGACUCUACCAUCAAGGAUUCCUCACACACCUGAGCUGAACCCCACCUGAUCUUGUUUGGUCGGGGGCAGACACACCUGAGCUGAACCUCCCCUGAUCCUGUUUGGUCGGGGACAGACACACCUGAGCUGAACCCCACCUGAUCCUGACACCCUGCUGGUCCCGUCUCCUCAGUUCUUCUGAGCCUCGUCCUCCAGAAGACCUGCUGAGCUCAGCGGUCUGAGGCUGAUGGAUCAAUGACCUCCAGUGGGAGUGAUCUUCUUGACCCCACAUGUACUUGUGUGCUUCCACACGCCUUUCCCUCACUACUUCCCUAACCUCACUACUUCCCCAACCUCACUACUUCCUUAACCUCACUACUUCACUAACCUCACUACUUCCCUAUCCUUCCUCUUCUUCUUCCUUCUCCGUGGUUCGAACCUGUGUCUUCCUGCCCUCAGAGGGUUCAGCGUUAGGGUUGAGAGUCAGGGUUUAGAGUCAGGGACAGAGCUGGUCAGGGAGGACUGGUUUUAAACAAACCUCUUCACUUGUUUUCUGAAUAGCGACUUUUUGAAAUGUUUCAUUUGGGAAAAUGUUUUCUUCUGCUUUCCUUUAGAAAAACAUGCAUAAAACUUCUGUCAAGUGUUUUUGUUCAUAUAUUAAAAUCCUACAUUGA